rnacentral:rRNA from 1 species
UCCGAAGGGGGCUAGCGUUGCUCGGAAUUACUGGGCGUAAAGCGCACGUAGGCGGCUUGUUAAGUCGGGGGUGAAAUCCUGGAGCUCAACUCCAGAACUGCCUUCGAUACUGGCGAUCUCGAGUUCGGGAGAGGUGAGUGGAACUGCGAGUGUAGAGGUGAAAUUCGUAGAUAUUCGCAAGAACACCAGUGGCGAAGGCGGCUCACGGGCCCGAUACUGACGCUGAGGUGCGAAAGCGUGGGGGGCAAACAGG